ACUUGUGUUUAUCCGGUGAAGAGUGACUGAUGAAGGAAUGCUGAAUCAAAGGCUUUCAAUCUUUUGUGGUGGAGCAGGUGACGGCAGCAUUUGUGGGAAGAAAGGAAGACCUGAAACAAAAAUAUAAAACUGGUGUGAGCAGUGAGAAAGGAGAAAUCCACAGCAGGAUCCUGAAAAUGGUCUGGUGCCAUGGAUGAGAUCCUCCAUCACUCCACCUGCCAUUAUUGCCUCAUCUGGGCCAGAUGUUGCUGUGGCCUCUUCAUCCUCAGUGAGCUCAG